rnacentral:rRNA from 1 species
AUUGAACGCUGGCGGCAGGCCUAACACAUGCAAGUCGAGCGGAUGAAGUGAGCUUGCUCCUGGAUUCAGCGGCGUACGGGUGAGUAAUGCCUAGGAAUCUGCCUGGUAGUGGGGGAUAACUUCCGGUAACGGGCGCUAAUACCGCAUACGUCCUGAGUGAGAAAGUGGGGGAUCUUCGGACCUCACGCUAUCAGAUGAUCCUAGGUCGGAUUAGCUAGUUGGUGGGGUAAAGGCCUACCAAGGCGACGAUCCGUAACUGGUCUGAGAGGAUGAUCAGUCACACUGGAACUGAGACACGGUACAGACUCCUACGGGAGGAAGCAGUGGGGAAUAUUGGACAAUGGGCGAAAGCCUGAUCCAGCCACGCCGCGUGUGUGAAGAAGGUCUUCGGAUUGUAAAGCACUUUAAGUUGGGAGGAAGGGCAGUAAGUUAAUACCUUGCUGUUUUGACGUUACCAACAGAAUAAGCACCGGCUAACUUCGUG